UACGGAGGGGGCAAGCGUUGUUCGGAAUUACUGGGCGUAAAGCGUGCGUAGGCGGUUUUGUAAGUCAGAUGUGAAAUCCCCGGGCUUAACCUGGGAAUGGCAUUUGGGACUGCAAGGCUUGAGUGCGGCAGAGGAGACUGGAAUUCCUGGUGUAGCAGUGAAAUGCGUAGAUAUCAGGAGGAAUACCGAUGGCGAAGGCAGGUCUCUGGGCUGGCACUGACGCUCAUGCACGAAAGCGUGGGGAGCAAACAGG
rnacentral:rRNA from 1 species